rnacentral:rRNA from 1 species
ACGAACGCUGGCGGCACGCUUAACACAUGCAAGUCGAACGAGAGAAGAGGAGCUUGCUUUUCUGAUCUAGUGGCGGACGGGUGAGUAACACGUGAGCAAUCUGCCUUUCAGAGGGGGAUACCGAUUGGAAACGAUCGUUAAUACCGCAUAACAUAAUUGAACCGCAUGAUUUGAUUAUCAAAGAUUUAUCGCUGAAAGAUGAGCUCGCGUCUGAUUAGCUAGUUGGUAAGGUAACGGCUUACCAAGGCGACGAUCAGUAGCCGGACUGAGAGGUUGAUCGGCCACAUUGGGACUGAGACACGGCCCAGACUCCUACGGGAGGCAGCAGUGGGGAAUAUUGCACAAUGGAGGAAACUCUGAUGCAGCGAUGCCGCGUGAGGGAAGAAGGUUUUAGGAUUGUAAACCUCUGUCUUCAGGGACGAAAAAAGACGGUACCUGAGGAGGAAGCUCCGGCUAACUACGUGCCAGCAGCCGCGGUAAUACGUAGGGAGCGAGCGUUGUCCGGAAUUACUGGGUGUAAAGGGAGCGUAGGCGGGAUCGCAAGUCAGAUGUGAAAACUAUGGGCUUAACCCAUAAACUGCAUUUGAAACUGUGGUUCUUGAGUGAAGUAGAGGUAAGCGGAAUUCCUAGUGUAGCGGUGAAAUGCGUAGAUAUUAGGAGGAACAUCAGUGGCGAAGGCGGCUUACUGGGCUUUAACUGACGCUGAGGCUCGAAAGCGUGGGGAGCAAACAGGAUUAGAUACCCUGGUAGUCCACACCGUAAACGAUGGAUACUAGGUGUAGGGUGUGAUAAACAUUCUGUGCCGUCGCAAACGCAGUAAGUAUCCCACCUGGGGAGUACGGCCGCAAGGUUGAAACUCAAAGGAAUUGACGGGGGCCCGCACAAGCAGUGGAGUAUGUGGAUUAAUUCGAAGCAACGCGAAGAACCUUACCAGGUCUUGACAUCGUAUGCAUAGCUCAGAGAUGAGUGAAAUCUCUUCGGAGACAUAUAGACAGGUGGUGCAUGGUUGUCGUCAGCUCGUGUCGUGAGAUGUUGGGUUAAGUCCCGCAACGAGCGCAACCCUUACUGUUAGUUGCUACGCAAGAGCACUCUAGCAGGACUGCCGUUGACAAAACGGAGGAAGGUGGGGAUGACGUCAAAUCAUCAUGCCCCUUAUGACCUGGGCCUCACACGUACUACAAUGGCUGUCAACAGAGGGAUGCAAAGCCGCGAGGUGGAGCGAACCCCUAAAAGCAGUCUUAGUUCGGAUUGUAGGCUGCAACCCGCCUACAUGAAGUCGGAAUUGCUAGUAAUCGCAGAUCAGCAUGCUGCGGUGAAUACGUUCCCGGGCCUUGUACACACCGCCCGUCACGCCAUGGGAGUCGGUAACACCCGAAGCCUGUAGUCUAACCGCAAGGAGGACGCAGUCGAAGGUGGGAUUGAUGACUGGGGUG